rnacentral:misc_RNA from 1 species
UUUCCGUAGGUGAACCUGCGGAAGGAUCAUUACAAAAAUCCCAAUUAAAUCAUUUGUGAAUUAUAAGUCCCUUUAAUAGGUUCAGGCCUAAUAUUAAGGGCGAGCUGUGCUGGGUUGAGAUAUAGGCCGCGUAGGCUAUAAACUUUGGGAUAUAGGCCGAGAGGACUAUAAACUUUGGGCCUAUAAACUUGGCCCACACAGAUAUUAAACCAAGUUGUCUAAAUGUAUAUAAAUUAUCAAUAACAACACUUGACAGUGGAUCUCUUGGCUCUU